AAGGCCGGCCGCAGCGGGUGAGAGCCCCGUACGCGAAGGACGAGGACUGCGGUCUGCGAUCCAGAGUAGGGCCGGGCACGUGAAACCCGGUCCGAAGCAGGGGGGACCACCCUCCAAGGCUGAACACUCUCCGAUGACCGAUAGCGAACCAGUACCGCGAGGGAAAGGUGAAAAGCACCCCGAGAGGGGAGUGAAACAGCGCCUGAAACCGUGCGCCCCCAAGCAGCGGGAGCCGUUCCGACGACGGUGACCGCGUGCCUUUUGUAGAAUGAGCCUGCGAGUCGCGGCAUGCGGCGAGGUUAAGGGACACCGAGCCGCAGCGAAAGCGAGCCUGAACAGGGCGAUUUGAGUCGCAUGCCGCGGACGCGAAGCCGGGUGAGCUAUCCAUGGGCAGGGUGAAGCGGGGGUAAGACCCCGUGGAGGCCCGAACCCACUUCGGUUGAAAACGGAGGGGAUGACCCGCGGAUAGGGGUGAAAGGCCUAUCAAACCCGGAGAUAUCUCGUUCUCCCCGAAACAGCUUUAGGGCUGGCCCCGGGCAUUGACCAUCGGAGGUAGAGCACUGGACCGGCGAGGGGGCCUCACCGCCUACCGACCCAGACCAAACUCCGAAUGCCGAUGGUUUGGACCCCGGGAGUCAGAGCGCGUGGGCUAAGCUGCGCGCUCGAGAGGGAAACAGCCCAGACCGCCCGCCAAGGCCCCAAAGGCCGUGCUAAGUGGCAAAGGAUGUGCGCCCGCCCAGACAACCAGGAUGUUGGCUUAGAAGCAGCCAUGCAUUCAAAGAGUGCGUAACAGCUCACUGGUCGAGUGGGGGCGCGCCGACAAUGCGCGGGGCUCAAGCACGGCGCCGAAGCGGCGGAAUCAUUUAUUUGAUUGGUAGGGGAGCUUUCCAUGCCGGGCGAAGCCGGAGGCGCGAGCCCCGGUGGACGGCAUGGAAGUGAGGAUGCAGGCAUGAGUAGCGAGAGAGCGGCGAGAAACCGCUCCGCCGAAAACCCAAGGUUUCCUGGGCGAGGCUAAUCCCCCCAGGGUCAGCCGGGAGCUAAGGCGAGGCCGAGAGGCGCAGCCGAUGCACGACGGGCAGACAUUCCCGUGCCGGCGCGGGCGCGCUACGACCGAUGGGACGACGGGGAAGGAUACGCGAGCGGGGUUCUGGACGUCCCCGUGAAAGCGCGUAGGGAGGGGCCCAGGGAAAUCCGGUCCCCACACAUCCCGAGACGCGAGACGAGCCCCAUGGCGAAGUCGCGGAUUCCAUGCCUCCUAGAAAAAUCCCUAGGCAGCGCCCACGCCGCCCGUACCAAAACCGACACAGGUGGGUAGGAAGAGCAUUCCGAGGCGAUCGGGGCAACCAUGGUCAAGGAACUCGGCAUAAUCGUCCCGUAACUUAGGGAGAAGGGACGCCCCCCAGCGUGAACCGGCUCGCCCGGGAAGCGCCGGGGGGCCGCAGCGAAAGGGCCCAAGCGACUGUUUACCAAAAACACAGGACUCUGCCAAGCCGCGAGGCGAAGUAUAGGGUCUGACGCCUGCCCGGUGCCGGAAGGUCACGGGGAUCCGUUAGAGAAAUCGAAGCGGUGAACCCAAGCCCCGGUAAACGGCGGCCGUAACUAUAACGGUCCUAAGGUAGCGAAAUUCCUUGUCGGGUAAGUUCCGACCUGCACGAACGGCGCAACGACUUGGGCGCUGUCUCGACCAUGGGCCCGGCGAAAUUGCAUUAUCCGUGAAGAUGCGGAUUCCCCGCGGAAGGACGGAAAGACCCCGUGAACCUUUACUGCAGCUU
rnacentral:rRNA from 1 species